UGUAUUGUAAUUUUGUAUGCAUCUAUUUAUAGGAAAAGGGUCUUAGGAAGAAAUUGCAGUUUGAGACGAUUAACGGUAUUAUGCUAAAGGUGACUCCACAUCAAAUGGAGAAGCAUAAUGCUCUACUUGCAAAGCUAAAAAGUGAAGUAGUUCAAGCUCAUGAUGAGGUGCACUUCCAAAAGAGAAAUGUGGUUCUGAUGCCAUGAGAAUAAAGCCUGAGUUUUGUGGACAACGAUGGAAAGGUGUUUUGGAAGUUGAAAAGUUAUAACGAUGAAAGCAAUAUUCUUUUGCAAGAUGUGAAAAUGCAAGAUGAAACCGCUUCUUCAUCAGAAGAAAAAUGGUUUGUCUAUGGUCCUGAGAAGAAGGAAGAGGUUGAUAAGUAUAUUCACUCAAAGGUGAAUAAGUGGAUUGCUUUUGUGGUUUUGGAUGUUGUACAUGGCAUUGGAAAGCUUGCAUUCUUUGUAUUUUGACAAUAAAGAUGAUGGGCUAAAAGACUCAAAAGCCACAAGGGUUAAGAGUACUAGCAUAACUGUUGGCCAAAAUGCAUUGUGUGAGGUAGAUUCAUAUAGGUAUUGGUGGACAUCUUUCUAUGCUCGACCAUUUUUGAUUGAGAGUUGAGUAGGUUUCCCCAUUUUUUGUGUUCUUUGUAUAAAUGAAAGCAUUAUUGUGAUAUAAAAUCAUGUAGUACGAUUGGGAAAAAGUUGAUGAUAAUGCUAAAACUUGAAAAAGAAUAUGAACUUGUUGUAUUUGUUGUAGUGAAUUAUA